rnacentral:rRNA from 1 species
UACAGAGGGGGCAAGCGUUGUUCGGAAUUACUGGGCGUAAAGGGCGCGUAGGCGGCCUGCUAAGUCGAACGUGAAAUCCCCGAGCUCAACUCGGGAACUGCGUCCGAUACUGACAGGCUUGAAUCCGGGAGAGGGAUGCGGAAUUCCUGGUGUAGCGGUGAAAUGACGCAGAUAUCAGGAGGAACACCGGUGGCGAAGGCGGGUCUCUGGGCAACAACUGACGCUGAGGAGCGAAAGCGUGGGGAGCGAACAGG